GAUAACCUGGAGGAAGGUGGGGAUGACGUCAAAUCAUCAUGCCCCUUAUGCUUAGGGCUACACACGUGCUACAAUGGGUAGUACAGAGGGUUGCCAAGCCGUAAGGUGGAGCUAAUCCCUUAAAGCUACUCUCAGUUCGGAUUGUAGGCUGAAACUCGCCUACAUGAAGCUGGAGUUACUAGUAAUCGCAGAUCAGAAUGCUGCGGUGAAUGCGUUCCCGGGUCUUGUACACACCGCCCGUCACACCACGGGAGUUGGAGACGCCCGAAGCCGAUUAUCUAACCUUUUGGAAGAAGUCGUCGAAGGUGGAAUCAAUAACGGGGGUGAAGUCGUAACAAGGUAGCCGUAUCGGAAGGUGCGGCUGGAUCACCUCCUUUCUAAGGAGA
rnacentral:rRNA from 1 species